rnacentral:lncRNA from 1 species
AAAGAGACCCUUUCCCCGGGAAGGAGAGGGAAGUUGAGACGAAGGUCGGAUACCGAAUAGGUAUUGGAGGGGUGAGAAGUGAAGAGGGUAGUGACGUACAUUUAGAAACAGGAUGAAUCCAUCAAAGGCAAAAUUGUGAAGGCACGGUCCCUGCCUUUGAUCUGCUUACAGUCAAAUGGAGCAGACACAAGUCAGUGGUUGCAGCAUACCACUUAAGGAUUCUAAAGUAGAUUUAUCAGCAGGUUGCAGGUGCAAGUGGCCUUGAGGUAAAGACUGCCCCUUGUGGAAACUUAGUUUUAGCAGCUUGUUCAUGGUAUUUAAAAAAAUUGGAAUCUUACGAAAAAACAAGUUAUGUUUAGUUUUGUUCUAGACAUUUUUUCUUACAGAAGUUGAGAAAGAUGUUUUAAAAAAGGUUCAUUGUGCUAAAUAAUUGUGAUCCUUGAAGUUGGUUGUUUCCCUUCUUUAAAUUGAGUGAAUUUUAAAUGUUAAAGAUGACUCCAGACAGUUUAUUCUUGGUAAAAUACUUUAUUAAAAUCUAAACAAGUGUCAAAUUUUAUCCAUGUUCAAAUUACUUGUGCAAUAUUCCAUAAAGCCUACUAGAACCCUGUAUUCAAACAUGUCUGAGGUGUGAUUACCUUAUUUCCUACUUGGUAGUUUCUGUUUCAAUAGUUGGGAACAUUGUUGAGUAUGUACAUAUGUAUAUAUUGUUUACAACUGAACAAUUUCUGUAGUUUCAUCUGCUGCACCUUAUUUCAGGGAAGGUGAUACAGCUUGUCAUGGCAGCUCUGUGUGUGUGUGUGUGUGUGUGUGUAACAAGCUAUUACAUUGUCAGGGUGUAUGGUUAAUUUGGGAAUCUGAGCUACUGUUCCCACCAGUAGACAGUUUCAUAGAAGAUGAGAGGUGUCCCACGGGUCAGACUUUGAGUGUACUGGAAAACUUGAGAGUUUAAAGUAAGCAAUUUUUUCAUCUAACGAAACCUUAAGUGAUGACUUUAGGGUAUGUUGUGUUUAGAGCAGUG